ACAGGAAGAGGAAACUGUACUAUCACCAAGUAGUUUGAAAAGAAAAAACCUGCAUUAAUAGAGUGGGAUUUUAUUUUUAAAAAAUGGUAUAGCUCAAAAGGGUAUUGGAUAAUGCAAUCCAAGUCUUAGAAGGAUGUAGGCUGCACACACAGAAAUGUCUCCUAAAUGAAACCACACCAAAAAGAACCUUUCAGCAGUGUCACAAAAGCAUUUGUAUAGAAUGCAGUUGACCACCACGUAAUUCAGGAAAAGGGAGAGAGGAAGAGGAUGCAACUGAACCCAACAGUGGGUAAGAAAAACCUUUGGGUCUCUUCUUAUCUCCACUACUGACUUGCUAUAUAGCUGUAG